rnacentral:rRNA from 1 species
ACGAACGCUGGCGGCAGGCUUAACACAUGCAAGUCGAACGCCCCGCAAGGGGAGUGGCGCACGGGUGAGUAACACGUGGGAACAUGCCCUCUAGUACGGAACAACGUCGGGAAACUGACGCUAAUACCGUAUAAUAUCUACGGAUCAAAGAUUUAUCGCUAGAGGAGUGGCCCGCGUCUGAUUAGGUAGUUGGUGAGGUAAUGGCUCACCAAGCCGACGAUCGGUAGCUGGUCUGAGAGGAUGAUCAGCCACACUGGGACUGAGAUACGGCCCAGACUCCUACGGGAGGCAGCAGUGGGGAAUAUUGGACAAUGGGGGCAACCCUGAUCCAGCAAUGCCGCGUGAGUGAUGAAGGCCUUAGGGUUGUAAAGCUCUUUUGCCAGGGAAGAUGAUGACUGUACCUGGAGAAUAAGCCCCGGCUAACUUCGU